rnacentral:lncRNA from 1 species
GGGAGCUGGAGGGACACUGGGAAGAGCACUGGGCACUGGGCACACUGGUCUCUGGGCACUGGGCACAGGGCACUGGGCACUGGUCAUACUGGUCACACUGGGCACUGGUCAUGGGGCACUGGGCACUGGUAACUGGUCACACUGGGCACUGGUCACACUGGGCACUGGUCGUGGGGCACUGGGCACAGGGCACUGAGCACUGGUCAUGGGACAUUGGGCACUGGGCACUGGUCAGACUGGUCUCUGGGCACUGGGCACUGGGUACUGGGCACUGGUCAUACUGGACACUGGGCACUGGUCACAGGUCACUGGGUACUCGGCACUGGUCACUGGUAACUGGUCACACUGGGCAUGGUCACACUGGGCACUGGUCAUGGGGCACUGGGCACUGGUAACUGGUCACACUGGGCACUGGUCAUGGGGCACUGGGCACUGGUCACACUGGUCACACUGGUCUCUGGGCACUGGGCACAGGGCACGUCAUGGGGCACUGGUCUCUGGGCACUGGUCACACUGGGCACUGGGCACUGGGCACACUGGUCUCUGGUCACACUGGGCACUGGGCACACUGGGCACUGGUCAUGGGGCACUGGGCACUGGGUACUGGGCAUUGGGCACUGGGCACUGGGCACUGGGCACACUGGGCACUGGGCACUGGGCACACGGGGCACUGGGCACUGGUCUCUGGUCACUGGUAACUGGUCAUGGAGCACUGGUCACACUGGUCUCUGGGCACUGGUCACAGGGCACUGGGCACAGGGCACUGGGUACUGGGCAUUGGUCACACUGGGCACAGGGCACUGGUCAUGGGGCACUGGUCACUGGUCGCACUGGUCACUGGUCACACUGGUAACUGGUCACACUGGGCACUGGUCAUGGGGCACUGGGCACUGGGCACUGGGCCCAGGGCACACGGCACUGGACACUGGGCACUGGUCAUACUGGUCACACUGGGCACUGGUCAUGGGGCACUGGUCCCUGGCCACACUGCUCACACUGGUCCCUGUUCCCCACUGCUGGGUGCCCGGGGGUGACGGGACGGGGGGGGGGGUGUGCGGCUGCUGGGCCCCCCCUCACCGUGCGCUGGUUUGCAGUGGCGCUGCUGGGACCCCGCAGCACAGGUAUGGAGAGAGGGGGGGGAGCUGGGGGGGGGGGGUGAACCUGCCCCAG